GUCCCUACGCCUCUUCCAUAUGAUAUCAUCCCAGUUCACAAGCCACGAUAGCAUUUGCCACCAUGAUAUCUUUCAGUUGUAUGCUCCAAAGAAUGCAAAGAGUCAACAGAGGAAUAAUACUGGGAAGAGUAGUAGGAAGAACAGAAUGGGGGGGGGAAAUGACUAUUACUACCCUAGUUUUCUUCCUAGUGAAACUGCUUUCCUCAUGUCAUUUAUCUGCCUAGAAAUGUCAAUGGCUUCCAUUGUCAAGAGUAUUAAGUCUACAUAACUUCAUCUGUAAUGGAAACAUAUGGAACUUAGAGCUACAUCUGCCUUUAUGAUCUCAUUGCCUACAAUUCUCUCAUAAGAACUCUGGGCUCUCUCAGCUUAUGGCACCCAUCCUAUUUCUGAUUCAAAUUGAAAGAUGAUUUUUUUCUUAUUCAAGACUCCUAGGUCUCAUUCCAAAGAUGAAGCAUGCCUGCUACUUUUGAAAAUAUGAGGAAUUCUUUUGAUAGCUGUUUGUACCCAGUUUCUAAGAGCCUGAAGAAAUGACAACACAACUUCACAAAGCCAUGCUUUCAUAAAAACCGUAAUGACAAGUCUCCUUUCCUCCUCCACCUCCAGUUCUUAGACUAAGAUCCAUUAGCCACUCAGAAAUAAAAUACAAAUUGAAUAACUGAGGCUUGAUAGAGUUACAUCACUUGUCCAAAGAGAUAAUGCCAGUGAAUGGAAUAGCCAGAUCGAAUUCCAGAAUCCGUAAAGCUCCACUGCUUCUCUCUGAAUCUAUGAGCCUGAAACAGCAGAUUCAGUAGAACAGAGUUUCUCAGGAAUGGCAGAGCCACAAGUUGGGAGGAGCCCAGCUCUGUCCAACAACCUGGAACAUCCAUCAACCAGGAAAACUGUUGCACUUUAUGUGAUUAAGAAACAUUUUUUAAGGAAAAAAGCAGUAAAUUUUUGGGUUAUAUUUGUUGCAAUAGCUGUGUUACUUUCCUAAUGCACAAUCACAAAUGUAAAAUGCCACACACAGAGUGUGAGGAAAUAUAUUGCUAUUGGACUACUUGUAGUCUAUUUAAUUUUUUUAUAUAGCUAUAGCCAGAUCUGGGGUGAAAUGGUUUAGAAUAAUAAUUUCCAAUAGUAUACAUCAUACCUUUAAAAAGACUUUUAUGGAUGGAUAAAUAUCUAAUUAUGGAACUGCCCUGCAACGUAAGUGGUGAGAGAAACUCUUUAUAUAUGCUUUGUUUUUUUCUGAAUGCAUAGGUUCAGAAUUAUUAAACAAAUCCUCAUCUUUUGACAGCCAGUAAUCAAUUUCUCAUUUGCAGGGAAUCUAAUUGCAUUAGAGGGGACACUGGGGAAGUUAUGGACUACCUCAUCUUUCUACUAUAAAAAAUGAAACUACUUGUCUGUAUUGAAUUUGAUUUUAUAUGUUCAAUGAAAUAUAUCAUAUCCUUAUAAUAAAGUUAUAUAAGUUGC
rnacentral:lncRNA from 1 species